UCUACGGGGCGCAGCAGUGGGGAAUAUUGCACAAUGGGGGAAACCCUGAUGCAGCAACGCCGCGUGGAGGAUGAAGGUUUUCGGAUUGUAAACUCCUUUUGUUAGAGAAGAUAAUGACGGUAUCUAACGAAUAAGCACCGGCUAACUCCGUGCCAGCAGCCGCGGUAAUACGGAGGGUGCAAGCGUUACUCGAAAUCACUGGGCGUAAAGAGCGCGUAGGCGGGAUAGCAAGUCAGAUGUGAAAUCCUAUGGCUUAACCAUAGAACUGAAUUUGAAACUGUUAUUCUUGAGUUUGGGAGCGGUAG
rnacentral:rRNA from 1 species